GCCCCCGUAGCUCAGAGGAUAGAGUGCUGGCCUCCGGAGCCAGAAGCGUGGGUUUGAAUCCCACCGAGGGUAC
rnacentral:tRNA from 1 species